ensembl:lncRNA
GUCGGAAUACGGGUGCGGAAAGAAUAACGGUCCCUGAGGACGCUUGCUCUGGCUUGGGCAUGUUAUUGAUCCUUCUCAUGUUUCAGAUUCAAGCUAAAUAAAUGAAAAUAAAUCCAGAUCGUUGACGGGAAACGGAAGAUUAUACGUACAUAUUCACCUUUACGGAACAGUGGGCAGCAGUUCUGCAGCUCCAAACGCCUCGCUGAUGAGAGGGGUCCGAGGAGAACAGCCAGACCCGGUAAAAAAUGACAGGAAGUCCAUAGCAGCUGGAAUAACCACUCUUUACAAGUGCUGAAAAGCAUCUCAGGACACGCCAAACCCUGAGGUGGAUGGGCGACAACAGCAGAAGACCACGUCGGGUGCUACAGUGUGCACAGUAUCACUAAAGCGGCGUCAUCUGCAUCCUCGAGAAUGAGUUCCGAGAGCCGAGCAAGCUGUCGCUCCGGCGUUCUGUGCGCCCAGACGGUCA